rnacentral:siRNA from 1 species
GGCGUCUCUCCAAUUGCUGAUGUA